ACCAAAUCAAUGUCAGAUUUCUGUUCUCGUUUUCAUUCUGUGUUACAAAAUAACAAUACUUUGCUUUGGAUCAUUAUACACUCCGCGUUUUACUUUGGACUUAAGAGGAUCAGGGUUAAGUUUUAUGUUGGUUCCAAAUGAAAACCAUAUUAAUAGCAGGAGGACGCCAUCAGCUUCCACCGCCACUUUUGUGCGCCGCCUUCGGCUCCUCCCUUUUAUCGUUUCUUUUGCUUGUGUGUUGCUUUGCUACCUGAUCUCUGCUGCCUUUGCGCGUCUUCUCCAGAUGUUUGUGGAGGUGGACUACUGUGCUAACAGCACUGACUCCUCGGCUUACUGGAAGCACUUUUGCACACAGCCCUGUCUCCAUUAGCACCCUUGGGGGAUAACGUCCCUCUCAGUGCCCACUGUGGGCUGUUGCGCUGAUAGAGUGGGGGUCAUGGUUCCGCCACACACGUUCAGACAACAAGCAUCGGCCUUGCAGCUUGAAGGAAGCCGUGCAGAGGGAUGGUUUCCCCUGGGCUCUGUAAGACAGUACAGCACUGUGUGCAAGCCAUUCACCCAUCUCUGGUGAUCAACGGCAGUUUGAGACCAGGAGCACUGGUGAAAAGCAAGCUAAAUAUGACUGCUGGCUGGUGGCUUGAGACCUUCUUACACCGAGACUCGACUCUCCUGGUGUUCCUACUUCCAGAUACAAAAUCCUGGCUCCUAGAGACAGAAUCACCUGAGGGACAAGGGUCAGGUAGGUGUUUCAGAAGGCCAGGGAGCAUCAAGUUUGGCAUUGAUUUUUAGAGAGAAGCCCUCCUAGACCCAGUGCUCUUUAGAUCCAUCACAGCUUCCCCUCAUCAACUAUAAAAUAAUACACAUAAACAAAUGUCCCUAAAAUAAAUGCCGGGAUGUGGGAAACCAGUUUUAGCAUCCAAUUCUGUGAUGGAUGACUAGCCAGAAUUCACCCCUCCUCCACGCCUUUUUUCCACAAGCAAACUCACCAGCCUCUCCUUCCCACUAUCUGAGAGCUAGGCUCCUGCCUCUGCCCUUGCUUCCCCCCACAGGGUUACUUCAACACGGCAGCUGGAGUGGCCAUGCUAAAUACAUUUCGGAUCGCACCAUCCCCCUAUCCCAAACCUCACUCCCCAAGAUCUUCUCAAUUCAGAAUGAAAUCCUGCGCGAACCAAGCGCCACAGCACGGAGAGUCUGGCACACUGCACAGACUCACACGCCCUCUCUGAGAAGAGGAGACUUGGGACUGGAGGAAGUCAAAAGAGACAGCUCGGUCGUUCAGAGCACUUCCUGCAGAAGACCCCAGUACAGCUGCCAGCACCUAUGUUGGGUGGUUCUCAACACCUGUAACUCUGGCCCAAAGGGAUCCGAUGCCCUUCUCUGGC